rnacentral:rRNA from 1 species
CCUACGGGAGGCAGCAGUGGGGAAUUUUGGACAAUGGGCGCAAGCCUGAUCCAGCAAUGCCGCGUGAGUGAAGAAGGCCUUCGGGUUGUAAAGCUCUUUUGUCAGGGAAGAAACGGGUGGGGCUAAUAUCCCUACCUAAUGACGGUACCUGAAGAAUAAGCACCGGCUAACUACGUGCCAGCAGCCGCGGUAAUACGUAGGGUGCAAGCGUUAAUCGGAAUUACUGGGCGUAAAGCGUGCGCAGGCGGUUUUGUAAGUCUGUCGUGAAAUCCCCGGGCUCAACCUGGGAAUGGCGAUGGAGACUGCAAGGCUAGAGUUUGGCAGAGGGGGGUAGAAUUCCACGUGUAGCAGUGAAAUGCGUAGAUAUGUGGAGGAACACCGAUGGCGAAGGCAGCCCCCUGGGUCAAAACUGACGCUCAUGCACGAAAGCGUGGGGAGCAAACAGGAUUAGAUACCCUGGUAGUCCACGCCCUAAACGAUGUCUACUAGUUGUCGGGUCUUAAUUGACUUGGUAACGCAGCUAACGCGUGAAGUAGACCGCCUGGGGGAGGUACGGUCGCGAAGUAAGUUAAACGUUAAAGGUUAAAGUUAGUUACGGACGUGAGACGUUGCCGACGGACGACGACGAGGGAGGAGG